rnacentral:rRNA from 1 species
AAGAACGAGGCGGCUGAUGCUUUAAGCCGGCUAGGCUCUCAGCGAAAGCCGGUGCCGCCUAAUACUUUCUUGGAUGUCCUGUAUAAUCCUUCUGUUAAGCUGCCUACAGAGGAAAACCUGGCUGUCCCCGACCCGGAGGCACGACUGGUGGCGGCUCUCCAUAUCAUACCAGACUGGACAAUGCCCUAUCUGGCUUACAUGACCCGGGGCGAGUUACCUGAGGAUGAAACUUUGGCCAGGCAAAUAACCCGUCGGGCUAAGCCAAUGAUCGUUAUCAAUGGUGAGUUGCACCACCGUAGUGUUACGGGAGCGUUUCAGCGUUGUGUUUCCCCUGAGGAAGGUCAAGAGAUCUUGCGUGAG